AGCCCCGUGUUGUAGCGGUCAAGCAUUCGGGACUUUGGAUCCCGAGACAGGGGUUCGAUUCCCCUCGGGACCA
rnacentral:tRNA from 1 species